CUAAUAUAAUGAAUUAAAAAAAACUGAUCUUUGUUCCUUAUAUUGCGAUCAUUCACAACCACGCAACGGGGGUUCGUUGCAUUCGUGAGUGUCGAAGGUGGGUUGACCAGCUGUUUUCUCGUCCCGCCAUCGUCACUGAGAGUGAGAGCUCACGCGUGACUUCGUUCGAGAGUGAUUCGAAUUUUCCCAUUUUGCUAUCAUGAUGGUUUGUAGCGCGUCGGAUCCCACACACUGUUCCAGUUUCGCAACGAACUCGCCCGGUGCUGGAAGGCAUACAUAACUGUGUUCCGGUGUACGUUGUCUAGGCGCAUUUUUCGAACGUAUGAAAAUCUCGAUCCUCGUACACGGUGGACAGGUGGAAAAUGUAGUACGGAGUACGUAUUGACGCGUGUGUGUGCUUUUUGUUGUGCAGUGUCGCCUUCUCUUUCACGGUACGACAUUUAUUAAAUGACAACAAGUAGAUCUAAACUUUAAUUUCUUAUCCAAAAACCCUAACCCGAGUGCUGACAGAGUGCCGUUAAUGAAUAAUCAAGAUGGGCAGUGUGAAAGUCGAUGAAAUCUGCCACGCUGUCGGAGAUACAUAAAUGUCAAAUGUGACAGGUCGAUCGAUCCAACUGUCAGAAGCAUACGCGUUGAAAUAGUGCAAGUGCGGUUGCAAUCAGUGGAGUGGAAAAAAAAAGUUAGUGUACCGUUACAGGUGCUUAAUGCAUGGCGCUUCAACUAGUACGAAACCAGAGUUUCAAGUGAUAAUAUCCCCCCACUCUACGAGUGGAGUGGUAAAUACGAUGUGUUCAGCCGGUGUCAAGAAGCGCGAUGACCAGGUGACAUUGUGAAGAUUUGAGAGUGAUUUAAACCCCAUCAUCACCGGUAAUCCUUCGUAGACGUGUGGAUUGUGCGAUUGUUGGAACAAAAUCACCUCCUUGCACUCGGCGAAUCGGAAUUGGGGGAUAUCUUCCCUAUAUCCCCCGCGUGUCAACAAAACUUCGGGCGAGUGGUUUAUUUGUGAGGUUAAUUGUGUAGAAAAGCGGAGAAACCUAAUCGUAGCGCUGUUGGCACAAAAUUCAAGAGCGCUUCCGAACGUGUGCCGGAUUAGUGCCAAGGUUGAGAUUGGCUGGAGCGGAAAAGCCGGGGUAGGUUCCGUAAUUCGAUUGGUACCGGACAAUAGCCGGUGGUGGAUGUUACGGCGGUAAAAGGAACGGGGAAGAACAACGGAAAGCUAAAAGCAAAUCGACGAUCGU